rnacentral:rRNA from 1 species
GACAGAGGGUGCAAACGUUGUUCGGAAUUACUGGGCGUAAAGCGCGUGUAGGCGGCCAUCUAAGUCGGGCGUGAAAUCCCACGGCUCAACCGUGGAAGUGCACUCGAAACUGCAGGGCUAGAGUCCUGGAGAGGAAGGUGGAAUGCUUGGUGUAGAGGUGAAAUUCGUAGAUAUCAAGCGGAACACCGGUGGCGAAGGCGGCCUUCUGGACAGUGACUGACGCUGAGACGCGAAAGCGUGGGGAGCAAACAGGG